UUUCUCACUGUCAUUAACGCACAUCAGAUCCCACUAUCACGGAGUGAAGAAACUCAGUCUGCAUUAAUGCCUUUUACCCACAGCUAGAGCUUGCUACAGGAAAUCACGUUUAAAGUUGCCCCAUAUGUCUUGGACUUGGCUUCCAGUGGUGUGGAAAUCACACGGGCUGCAAACAGAAAGCAGAUACGAAGAAAGAUGCCUAGGGUUCCUGCUUACCUGCGUGAACAUGACAUAGGCCUGCUGCAGGGAGGCAUGAGGACUGCAGAUGUGUCCAGAGAAAUAUACUGCAAUGUCUGUAAUGUAAGACGCCUAAGACGGUGCUACAGGGAGACAGGAAGGACAGCUGAUCGUCCUUGCAGUGGAAAAUUACAUGUAACCGUGCGUCCCCCCAGACACGAUGCCUUGGUGGAAGGGUGGAGGAACAUCUCACAGCAAGAACUGACCAAUCUGGUGCAGUCCAUGAGGAUGAGAUGCACUGUAGUACUUAAAGCAGCUGGAGUCCACCAGAUACUGACUGUUAAUUUUAAUAUUGACCCCCCCUUUGUUCAGGGACUCAUUAUUCCAUUUCUGUUCGCCAAAUGUCUGUGAAACUUGUUCAGUUUACGUCUCAGUUCUUG
ensembl:lncRNA